rnacentral:lncRNA from 10 species
GGAAAGGAGUGGGUGUCAGCUGGGAGAAAUUUCCACUCAGUUUAAUGUUGCUGGAAAUCCAGACAUCUCUAAAAUAUGGGCUGAGGACCCCCACGUGCCCAGCACUGUGCCAGCCAGCCCCAGAAUGCAGAGAUGAAGAAGAGCUGUCUAUUGAGGACAGAGGAGACUGCUUAUGGAUGUGUCCUUGACAGCCACCUUGGCUGGGCACGUGGAAGAGAUCACAGGAGGCAAUGCCUGUGAACAACUCUCCUCCCCUCUGCCAGGAAGGCCUCCACCUGUACCUCUCCCUGUCUCUCCAGCUCCUCCUGACACCAUUGAUCUCUCCUGACACCAGUGGUCUCUCCUGCGAGGACCUCACCUUCUGAAGUCAGACAGGUCCUAGACUGAACCAUGGUCAUGGUCCUAGACUGGUCAUGUUCCAGUGCACCAGAUUCCCCACUCCGAGAUGAUCGAUUACAGUCAGAGACAAUUAACUACGGCUUCAGCAAUGUGUGAGAGGCAGCCAGCAUCAAGGGAGGCAAAGCACAGCCGUCAAAACAGAGAUCACACAGUCCCAAACAGCCUCGACCCUGGCUCACAUAAACUUUCCCGUCUCUAAGUGGGAGAGGCAGGCUGAUGCAGCCAUGGCUUUCAAAGCUUUUCCAUAAGAUGUUAGUGAUUUCUGAUCACACUUGGCAAACAUCCUUUGUGGGUGUGGAUUUCUGAUUAGCCUGUAAAUUCCUUGGAGCUGAAGAAUCAAGUCCAAUUCUCCUUUGUAUUAUCAGUUAAACAUCACACCGGGCACAUGGGAGGCUUAAUAAAGAAUUAUUUCUUUAUUUGGUUAACUACUUAUUCAUUGA